AUUGAACGCUGGCGGAAUGCUUUACACAUGCAAGUCGAACGGUAGAGGGGGCAACCUCUCGAGAGUGGCGAACGGGUGAGUAAUAUAUCGGAACGUGCCCAGUCGUGGGGGAUAACGUAGCGAAAGUUACGCUAAUACCGCAUACGAUCUACGGAUGAAAGCGGGGGAUCGCAAGACCUCGCGCGAUUGGAGCGGCCGAUAUCAGAUUAGGUAGUUGGUGGGGUAAAGGCUCACCAAGCCAACGAUCUGUAGCUGGUCCGAGAGGACGACCAGCCACACUGGAACUGAGACACGGUCCAGACUCCUACGGGAGGCAGCAGUGGGGAAUUUUGGACAAUGGACGCAAGUCUGAUCCAGCCAUUCCGCGUGCAGGAUGAAGGCCCUCGGGUUGUAAACUGCUUUUGUACGGAACGAAAAGGUUUCUAUUAAUACUAGGAGCUCAUGACGGUACCGUAAGAAUAAGCACCGGCUAACUACGUG
rnacentral:rRNA from 1 species